CCUACGGGUGGCAGCAGUGAGGAAUAUUGGUCAAUGGGCGCGAGCCUGAACCAGCCAAGCCGCGUGAGGGAAGACGGUCCUAUGGAUUGUAAACCUCUUUUGUCGGGGAGCAAAAGACGCCACGCGUGGCGUUCCGAGAGUACCCGAAGAAAAAGCAUCGGCUAACUCCGUGCCAGCAGCCGCGGUAAUACGGAGGAUGCGAGCGUUAUCCGGAUUUAUUGGGUUUAAAGGGUGCGCAGGCGGAAGAUUAAGUCAGCGGUAAAAGUGAGAGGCUCAACCCCUUCGAGCCGUUGAAACUGGUUUUCUUGAGUGAGUGAGAGGUAUGCGGAAUGCGUGGUGUAGCGGUGAAAUGCAUAGAUAUCGCGCAGAACUCCGAUUGCGAAGGCAGCAUACCGGCGCUCAACUGACGCUCAGGCACGAAAGUGUGGGUAUCGAACAGGAUUAGAUACCCCGGUAGUC
rnacentral:rRNA from 1 species